CUACAGCCACACCACCCUGAACGUGCCCGAUCCCGUCUGAUCUUGGCAGCUACGCAGGGUUAGUACUUGGUUGCUAAGUACUUGUUAGUACUUGGCUGGGAGAAACAGAAUGAUGAAUAGU
rnacentral:rRNA from 1 species